AUUGAACGCUGGCGGCAUGCCUUACACAUGCAAGUCGAACGAUAACGCGGGGCAACCUGGCGACGAGUGGCGAACGGGUGAGUAAUAUAUCGGAACGUGCCCAGUAGUGGGGGAUAGCCCGGCGAAAGCCGGAUUAAUACCGCAUACGACCUGAGGGUGAAAGCGGGGGAUCGCAAGAACUCGCGCUAUUGGAGCGGCCGAUAUCAGAUUAGCUAGUUGGUGGGGUAAAAGCCUACCAAGGCGACGAUCUGUAGCUGGUCUGAGAGGACGACCAGCCACACUGGGACUGAGACACGGCCCAGACUCCUACGGGAGGCAGGAGUGGGGAAUUUUGGACAAUGGGCGCAAGCCUGAUCCAGCCAUGCCGCGUGCGGGAAGAAGGCCUUCGGGUUGUAAACCGCUUUUGUCAGGGAAGAAACGCGCUGGGCUAAUACCUCGGCGUAAUGACGGUACCUGAAGAAUAAGCACCGGCUAACUACGUGCCAGCCGCCGCCGUAA
rnacentral:rRNA from 1 species